GGGAGGCACUGCACAGAACAACAAGAACUCUCAUUUUUUCCUGGUAGGAAAGCAAAAUGGUACACCCACUUUGGAAGACAGUUUGGCAGUUUUUACAAAACUAAACAUAGCCUUAUUAUGCUCUGGUUUCUUGUCAGAGCAUAUACAUCUUUCACCUCUCAAAUAUAUCCUUAC